UAUAGGGCCCUCCUCUUAUAAUUUAACUAUAUAAACUACAUUUCUUGGAACUUUAUGUUUUGGCCAUAGUUUGUGUCCUAGUUCAUUAGUGUAUUUUUCUUGUUUGUUUAAUAGUACCACUCUCUAUAUGUAGUGUUAGUUGUAGGGCUUAGGUUUUGGUUGAUAUAUUUCUGCAUUUGAGUUAUAUGUUUUAAGGUUUAAUUUCUCUUUAAGUAAAACGAAUUUCAGGUAUUAUUAGGAUCUUUUUUGGUAUGAAAGAAGCCUGUCCCCUAGACCAUGUUAGGUGGACUACAACACGUUUUUUUUCCUCACUCU